CCCUUAGAUGUUCUGGGCCGCACGCGUGCUACACUGAGUGGAUCAGCGGGUCAGGUUGCGCGAAAGUGUUUCCUAAUCUUGAAAUCCGCUCGUGAUGGGGAUUGACGGUUGCAAUUUUCCGUCAUGAACGAGGAAUACCUUGUAAGCGCGGGUCAUCAUCCCGCGCUGAAUACGUCCCUGCCCUUUGUGCACACCGCCCGUCGCUCCUACCGAUUGAGUGGUCCGGUGAGGCUUUGGGAUCUGAGCAAAGAGAGCGUUUCGCUCGUUUUGCCCGGAAAACUCAGUCGAACCUUAUCAUUUAGAGGAAGGAGAAGUCGUAACA
rnacentral:rRNA from 1 species